AAAAAUCCCACAGCAGCGCAUCACUGGUGCAUACGGGUGAUGUUUCCGAACGCCUUGGUUGUUCAUAUCCGUUACACUAAACUUUCAAUCCUCUUCCCUUUUUAGUUUCAAUCUCAUGGCAAUACACUCCAUUGAGAUAUUUUCUACAUCCAUAAUCGCCGUUGCGGUUGCGGCCUUGGUCGAGUUACUGUCGUGUUCAGACACGUUACGCAUGUGUCCUUUGGACCUUAUUUUUGAAUUCUAUUCUUUUUUAAAGAGGAAUUCUUUCUGUAGCAUCCUAUCAGUAACUCUCAUCUAAAUAAAAUUUCUGAUACUAACCCACAACUUGAUCUCUACAACAUUAGCGCUAUUUAUAUUCAUCGACUUGGCCGUGUGGGCCUGUGUAUCUCAGGCCCGGUGCCAUUCACAAGAAGAAGAAGAGUACAUCCAUAAUCGAGAAAAGUACGAGUAACAAGAUUUCACUGUGAUAAAAGAAAAAGAUUCGCAAGAGUGAAGAUAAAAAACAAAAAUAAUAUAGCGUAAUAAGCACUGAUUGAGCCUGGAGAAUAUCAGUAAAGCCACAAGUUAAUAAUAUUAAAUAAGAAAUUAACAUAUUUCCUUAUUUGUGAUAAGAGAGCAAAAUCUGCAAGAGUGAAGAUAAAAAAACGAAAAUAGUAUAUGCAUUGAAUAGUGCCACAAAGAUUGAAGAGUUCGAUCCAGCAUCAUAUAGAUUCUAACCCUAACGUAAUCUAAUU